rnacentral:rRNA from 1 species
AGUGAAUAGAUACCCGGGUAGUCCGACGCCGUAAACGAUGGAUGCUAGCUGUUAUUCGUAUCGACCCGAGUAGUAGCGAAAGCUAACGCGUUAAGCAUCCCGCCUGUGGAGUACGGUCGCAAGACUAAAACAUAAAGGAAUUGACGGGGACCCGCACAAGCGGUGGAGCGUGUUGUUUAAUUCGAUGAUAAGCGAAGAACCUUACCAGGGUUUGACAUCCUGCUUAUUUCUCUGGAAGGAGAGAGUGCCUUCGGGCCGCAGUGACAGGUGAUGCAUGGCCGUCGUCAGCUCGUGUCGUGAGAUGUUUGGUUAAGUCCAUCAACGAGCGCAACCCUUGUGACUAGUUGGAUUUUUCUAGUCAGACUGCCCCGGUAACGGGGAGGAAGGAGGGGAUGAUGUCAGGUCAGUAUUUCCCUUACAUCCUGGGCUAC